ACGUGGGCUCAAAAUGGUUUGACUCAGCCAUGUUGUCUUUUUAAAAUAAAAAAGAAAUUAGAUGUAAUUUAUUCAAUUUAAGGGGUUGUUAUACCCGAUAUCUGUGGCUUUUGCCCAGGAUCUAUGUUUAUUAUUGUGUCGUUUAGCAAUUGCUCUUCUAUGAAGGUUUUAUAAGAGGACGAUUGAUUAAGAAACCAAGGAAUAUAGAAGCAUGUCCAUAAGCAAAUAUAAUAUGCCAGAUAUUCGUUGAAGAAACUAUUGCAAAAAAUAACAGAAAUCGGUAGGGCAUAUUAAAAUCAAUGAAUAUAAACGACGUGUCAGAGAAGAACGGGCCACAGGCAUGUUAGGUUAGGUUUAUAAUACAAAUAACAAUGAAGUGUGAAGUACCUGUGAACACAUUACGAUAAAAAAAGAAUGUGUGUGUACUUUGUACGGACGUAAGAAGCUAUACUUCUAUUAUAUGAUUUCUUAAAAAUAAAUAAACUUUAAACAGUU